CCUACGGGGGGCUGCAGUGGGGAAUAUUGGACAAUGGGGGAAACCCUGAUCCAGCGACGCCGCGUGUGUGAAGAAGGCCUGCGGGUUGUAAAGCACUUUCGGUGGGAACGAAAUAUGCCGGGCUAAUAUCCCGGCAGGCUGACGUUACCCAAUGAAGAAGCACCGGCUAACUCUGUGCCAGCAGCCGCGGUAAUACAGAGGGUGCGAGCGUUAAUCGGAAUUACUGGGCGUAAAGCGCACGUAGGCGGGUGAAAUCCCCGGGCUCAACCUGGGAACUGCAUUCGAAACUGCGAUGCUUGAGUAUGGGAGAGGACAGCGGAAUUCCGGGUGUAGCGGUGAAAUGCGUAGAUAUCCGGAGGAACAUCAGUGGCGAAGGCGGCUGUCUGGCCCAAUACUGACGCUCAGGUGCGAAAGCGUGGGGAGCAAACAGGAUUAGAUACCCGGGUAGUC
rnacentral:rRNA from 1 species